rnacentral:rRNA from 1 species
GAUGAACGCUGGCGGCGUGCUUAACACAUGCAAGUCGAACGGUGACGGCGGAGCUUGCUCUGCUGGAUCAGUGGCGAACGGGUGAGUAACACGUGAGCAAUCUGCCCCUGACUCUGGGAUAAGCGCUGGAAACGGCGUCUAAUACUGGAUACGAGCCGCGAAGGCAUCUUCAGCAGCUGGACAUAACUUCGGUCAGGGAUGAGCUCGCGGCCUAUCAGCUUGUUGGUGAGGUAACGGAUCACCAAGGAGUCGACGGGUAGCCGGCUGGGAGGGUGGCCGGCCACACGAGGACUGAGACACGGCCCAGACUCCUACGGGAGGCAGCAGUGGGGAAUAUUGCACAAUGGGCGAAAGCCUGAGGCAGCAACGCCGCGUGAGGGACGACGGCCUUCGGGUUGUAAACCUCUUUUAGCAGGGAAGAAGCGAAAGUGACGGUACCUGCAGAAAAAGCGCCGGCUAACUACGUG